rnacentral:tRNA from 1 species
AGUGCUUCAGCCAACCACUACCACCAACAACAUGGUUGGUGAGGUGGCGAUUAACCGAGUUGCCUUACUGAC